GACGAACGCUGGCGGCGUGCCUAAUACAUGCAAGUAGAACGCUGAAGAGAGGAGCUUGCUCUUCUUGGAUGAGUUGCGAACGGGUGAGUAACGCGUAGGUAACCUGCCUUGUAGCGGGGGAUAACUAUUGGAAACGAUAGCUAAUACCGCAUAACAAUGGAUGACACAUGUCAUUUAUUUGAAAGGGGCAAUUGCCCCACUACAAGAUGGACCUGCGUUGUAUUAGCUAGUAGGUGAGGUAAUGGCUCACCUAGGCGACGAUACAUAGCCGACCUGAGAGGGUGAUCGGCCACACUGGGACUGAGACACGGCCCAGACUCCUACGGGAGGCAGCAGUAGGGAAUCUUCGGCAAUGGGGGCAACCCUGACCGAGCAACGCCGCGUGAGUGAAGAAGGUUUUCGGAUCGUAAAGCUCUGUUGUAAGUCAAGAACGGGUGUGAGAGUGGAAAGUUCACACUGUGACGGUAGCUUACCAGAAAGGGACGGCUAACUACGUG
rnacentral:rRNA from 1 species